CCAACAUAGAACAUCUGAUUGAUCUAGCCUCAUUCAGCUCUGUUUGUGUGACAUGGAGCUUAUGAUGAGUCAAUGAGGUAUAUUCCUGUCACAAUGUUGGAAAUCAAUUUCACUCGUAAUAUUGAGUUACUUGAUGUGAAACUUUGCAUAUUCCAUAGCCUUUUUGAAGCUACUAUGUGGCUGUUAUCAAGGAGAUAAACCAUGCAAUGGACAUUU